GAAUUAGACUAGCCUUCUUGAGAGUUUUGCAUGAAGAGGUAGAGAGUAAAUUGCAGCCAAGGAUGACUUGCCGAAAAAUGGCAACUACUGUUUGAAAGUUCCGGCAAGUUGUUCUCGGCUAUGAUUUGCUCUCUUCUUCUCAUGCAUACUCAAUAGAUUUCUCUCGGUUCAUCGGCAUUUGAGGCAUGCAUUUUCACAUACACGGCCACAAUAUAAUUAGAGCUUGUGGGCACCCCAAUCUUGGGAUGGUUCGCCAUGUUCCUCCGCUCUUUUGGCUUGGUAUAUAUAUUUAAAUCUCGACACCUUUGAUCCAUACAGAUAGAUAGAUAGAUGCAAGUCAUGUAUAUAGAUAGAUAACGCAUAUACUUAUCCUCGGUAGCUGUAAUUUAGGCGGCUAUACUGACACAUGACACCCUUAAUCUUAGAUGAAUCCCUCCCAAUUGAAAAGGAAACUAUUGAUUCUCUCCCGAAUGACACCCAUUUUCAGUUUGUAGGCCAAGGAAAGGGCCGUGUAUCUGUCUUAAACCGCAGGUAAAAGCUGGUUGCAGAUGGGGUUCUGCCAUGUAUAUCCCCUCCAUAAUAUCAAGGCUACCCAGUUUAUUUUUUUGAUGGAUUUUGCCAUUUUGACAGAAAAAUUGUAACAAAUGUAGUGACAUAAUCCCAGUUGGCAAUGGAUGAUUUGGGGGGAACAUUGAUUGUGUUUAAAACAAUCCAAUGAUGGAAUACCAUGUAGCAUUAUAUCAAGAAUUAUGCCAAUCAUUAUAUUACUGUAGCAUGAGUGUUGUUUGAUUAUAGACGUGUGAUGAUCUACUUUAAGGACAGCACCUUAGAUUUGAAGCUGUUUGGUGGCAUUUAUUAAAAUGUAAAAUUUCAUAUUAAUCAGUUAAGUAUAAAAAAAUUAACUGACUUAUAAGAAAUAAAGUUACUUCUUUUAUUAAGUUGACAUUUUAAAUUGACUGGGCACAUUAAGUUCAAAUAAUCAGCAACUUCGUCUUUAGCCAUUGAAUUUCAUGAUUGGUGAAACUUCAAAUUUUAAAGGGUUUUUUUUUUUUUUUUCCUUAUGACAAGGGAACCCUCAAUCGCUACCCUUUGGAUGCACACUGAAUAAACUAGCUUGCAAACUGCACCAGCUCACUAGGCAAGCCCUGUGCGGCAGGUUCGAUAGAGAAAGUGUUGGUAGAAGGAAUCGAACUCGUGAUCGAAGACUUUGGCAUUCACCUACUCCACCA
rnacentral:lncRNA from 1 species